UGGGGAAUAUUGCACAAUGGGCGCAAGCCUGAUGCAGCCAUGCCGCGUGUAUGAAGAAGGCCUUCGGGUUGUAAAGUACUUUCAGCGGGGAGGAAGGGAGUAAAGUUAAUACCUUUGCUCAUUGACGUUACCCGCAGAAGAAGCACCGGCUAACACCGUGCCAGCAGCCGCGGUAAUACGGAGGGUGCAAGCGUUAAUCGGAAUUACUGGGCGUAAAGCGCACGCAGGCGGUUUGUUAAGUCAGAUGUGAAAUCCUCGGGCUCAACCUGGGAACUGCAUCUGAUACUGGCAAGCUUGAGUCUCGUAGAGGGGGGUAGAAUUCCAGGUGUAGCGGUGAAAUGCGUAGAGAUCUGGAGGAAUACCGGUGGCGAAGGCGGCCCCCUGGACGAAGACUGACGCUCAGGUGCGAAAGCGUGGGUAGCAAACAGG
rnacentral:rRNA from 1 species